UGCUCCGAAUGAGACGGCGACUUCUCCCAGCGGCUCUUUCUAUUUUGUGGCUUCGAAGAGUUCAGCACCUUGUAUCGUAGAGAACUUGUUUGCGUUUUGAUAAUAAUAAACGUUCAAGCAGCUAUGAAUUAAUAAUAUAGGAAGCACAGUUUGAUUCCACUAGCAAAAUCUGCCAACUCUCCUGGUUUUGGAAGGUACCUUCAUUAAUGAUUUUUCUUUUGUUUUUUAAAGAAAAGAUUAUAAAAGUAUAUAUAUAAGGUACUAAAAUUUGAUAGCCAGAAAAUGAUGGACCCGUUACGUAUAAUUCAUGUUACUGGGUGUAUUUAUUAAGCAGAAUAGUCCAGAGGGGUAAAGUCGUUGAACUACCGUGUUUGCCUGAACCCAUAUUAUGUAGGUAUAUCUGCAACUGUAAAACCUUGCUUAACUAGAAGUUUUUGCUGCACUCCCCUUUUAGGAGAAUGAGGCAAAAGGAAGACAGUAAGCUUGUAAUAUCAGGGAUUUAUUUAAAACAGGAAAUUCCAUUUCAGUUUUGUGCCUCUAGCAAAACUGCACAGAAGUUAUGUAUAUUCUAGAGCUACCCCAAGAUAUACUACAUGAUAUUAAAUCAGCAAAAUCAAGUUGAUGUAUGUUUGUUAUUUUGUACUUUUUUACUGAGCCAGGAAAGUGAAGUAGUUCAGUUUAGAAAGAUUUUUCUGAACUAAUGGUUAAAACAAGAAGAGUUCUCUUGUAAAUAGCCAGCUAGCCAAGAAGAUGGAACAUUCUGCGAUUUUACUAUAUAUUGACACUUUAUGGCUCGCUUACCAGUUUGGUUCAGUUUGGUUCUUCUUAUUGAAUUAUUGAAUUAUAGUGUUUGGUGUUUGGAGCAUUCAGCAGGGACAUUUUAAAAUUCACCAGCUGUCUUUAAAGGCUUAAUUUGUUUUUUUGUUUUGUUUUGUUUUCACUGCUCUUUUGGAUAAUGGGAUGUUUACAUCUUAAUGUAUAAAUAUGAAAAUAGGCAUAAAUAAUGUUUAUGUAUAGAAAUGCUUUAUUUCAUUAUUUGGUGUCUGCAUUGCUGAGUGUUUAUAUAACUUCUCUGUCUCUGUGAUGUUGCCAAAGAAACUAUUAUGAAUUUGGAAUGAAAAAUUUUUGCCAUGAAUGUAAAGUUCUUAAGCUCAUUAGACUUCUAAAGUGUAUGAUAGUAAUAUCUUCCGUUUAUACUGUACUUUUACUUUAAAGAACAAGUCUCUGUUUACCUAAUUAUAAUGAGUUUUGUAGUGUAGGAGAAUUACUUGCCUUCUUGUUAUGAAGGAGGAAACUAAGGUAAUCAAAUGUUAAUGACUUAUCUAGGGUCACAGAGCUAAGCACAUACAACUUCUAAUCCCUUAGCCUUGGGGCUCUCCCCCACCAGAGUGGGGACUGAUGGCGAUAACUAAGGUUGUACUCAGGAAAUAGGUCUGCUCUUGGUGAAAUCAGGGAAUUGGGGACUUAAUGAGCUCAGGUGUGGUCUGAAAAAUUCUUAUCCUAAGCUAAAAUUGGCUUGAAAAUCCAUUUGAGACAAAUGGAGACAUGGAGAAUCUUUACCUAAUUUUGUAAUUUUAUGAUUUAUAUCAAGUGAAUGUGCUGUCCCUGGAUUAGCACAUUUAUUUUGUAUUAAAUGUGGUCUUUUUCACAGUGGAA